rnacentral:rRNA from 1 species
AGGUGGAAACACCUUUUCUAGCAAUAGCCGUUUGCGAGGUGCUGCAUGGUUGUCGUCAGCUCGUGCCGUGAGGUGUCGGCUUAAGUGCCAUAACGAGCGCAACCCUUGCCACUAGUUACUAACAGGUGAUGCUGAGGACUCUGGUGGGACUGCCAGCGUAAGCUGCGAGGAAGGCGGGGAUGACGUCAAAUCAGCACGGCCCUUACAUCCGGGGCGACACACGUGUUACAAUGGCGUGGACAAAGGGA